AAGAGAUAGAGAGUAAAAUGAAGUGACACAAUUUUCGCAAGCGCAAAACCGUGAAAUAUUGAGUCGUAUGCGCAGACGUGAGCACAAACGUAAAGUUCUCCAACGGCGUACAGAGACACGAUGAUUUUCCUUGCGGACCGUCGACAAAAGGGAGACAACGGUGACUUAUCACCCGUGCCAGAAGGAAUUACGAGCUUCUAAAAGGAGAGAAAGAAAAAAGGAAAAGAGUGAAAGAGAAAGAGAGAAAAAGAGAAAAAAGGAGAGGAAAAGAAAGAGAGAGAGGAAGAGUGAGACAUUGGAACACCCGAGAGUACGAGAAGAAGGUUCGAUCGAUCGAUCCGUAAAACAACAAAGUCAUUAUCUGCUUCGGACGUUCGAGCACAAGUGGCGCUUCCGAGAAGAGUUCCUGACGACGACGAAGAUGAUACGAGAAGUGAAAAAAGAGAAAGAAGAAAAGAAAGAGAGAGAGGGGAGAGAAAGCAAGAGAGAAAGAACGAAAAGAACGAACAAGGUUGUUCGAUGUAGAAAAAGUGUGAGAAUAUUUCUGCGACUCUGUAGAUCGUGCGAUUCAAUGAUUCGCAAAAAGAAAAAUCGACAUCUGGAAAGAAAAAGAAAGAAAAACAGAAUAUAUUCUCUAUUGAAAUAGAAGGCACGGUAUAAAUUACUUGAAAACAUAAAUUUUUAUUCAGAGGUUGGCAUUGGUGUGCUGCAAGAGGACUUUACUUUCUUUCUUUUUAUUUUUUUUUUAACUCGCCGUUAAGUAGAGGAUUACGUGAUUCAAGCUAUGGUAAAUACCGGGAGAAGAAAAAAGACGUCAUUAUCGUUAACGGUGCAUACCGAAUGCGGGGUCAUGAAGUGUGCCUUUAAGCCUCUUGGAUUGGGGUAUCGUCCUCGCGGAAGGUCUACAUAAUUUUUCUGCUUUCUGUUAUAUUUUUCUUGAAAAGAAACGACCGUAUGAAAAGCUCUUUACUUCAUGAAACAAGAAUGAAUAGAAGAAAAAGAGAAAGAGAAAGAAGAAAAUAAAAGGAAGCAAUGAUCUACGAAAAGAUCAAUCAACCUUAUAAGUCGAGCUAUUUUUAAUCAUUGUUUUCCAUUUCAAAUAAAAAUCUGAUAUAAUUAAAUAGGAUUUCGGUAUUUAAAAAUUAUAUUUAUCCAUCGAUUUAUCUAUUAACGUAUCGUAUAAAUUUGAUACAA